AGUGAACGCUGGCGGUAGGCCUAACACAUGCAAGUCGAACGGCAGCACAGUAAGAGCUUGCUCUUACGGGUGGCGAGUGGCGGACGGGUGAGGAAUACAUCGGAAUCUACUUUUUCGUGGGGGAUAACGUAGGGAAACUUACGCUAAUACCGCAUACGACCUACGGGUGAAAGCAGGGGAUCUUCGGACCUUGCGCGAUUGAAUGAGCCGAUGUCGGAUUAGCUAGUUGGCGGGGUAAAGGCCCACCAAGGCGACGAUCCGUAGCUGGUCUGAGAGGAUGAUCAGCCACACUGGAACUGAGGCACGGUCCAGACUCCUACGGGAGGCAGCAGUGGGGAAUAUUGGACAAUGGGCGCAAGCCUGAUCCAGCCAUACCGCGUGGGUGAAGAAGGCCUUCGGGCUGUAAAGCCCUUUUGUUGGGAAAGAAAAGCAGCAGGUUAAUACCCCGCUGUUCUGACGGUACCCAAAGAAUAAGCACCGGCUAACUUCGUG
rnacentral:rRNA from 1 species